UACGUAGGGUGCGAGCGUUGUCCGGAAUUACUGGGCGUAAAGAGCUCGUAGGUGGUUUGUCGCGUUGUCCGUGAAAACUCACAACUCAAUUGUGGGCGUGCGGGCGAUACGGGCAGACUGGAGUACUGCAGGGGAGACUGGAAUUCCUGGUGUAGCGAUGGAAUGCGCAGAUAUCAGGAGGAACACCGGUGGCGAAGGCGGGUCUCUGGGCAGUAACUGACGCUGAGGAGCGAAAGCGUGGGGAGCGAACAGG
rnacentral:rRNA from 1 species